AUGUUGCGACUUUCGAAUCGU
rnacentral:miRNA from 1 species